rnacentral:rRNA from 1 species
GCUUGUCUCAAAGAUUAAGCCAUGCAUGUCUAAGUAUAGUACCUUAUACUGCGAAACUGCGAAUGGCUCAUUAAAUCAGUUAUAAUUCAUUUGAUGGUACUUACUACUCGGAUAACCGUGGUAAUUCUAGAGCUAAUACAUGCUGGUUAGCCUGACUUCGAGGAAGGGCUGUAUUUAUUAGAUAACAAACCAAUAUUCUUCGUGUCUAUUGUGAUGACUCAUAAUAACUGAUCGAAUCGCAUGGUCCUUGACCGCGAUAAAUCAUUCAAGUUUCUGCCCCAUCAGCUUUCGAUGGUAGUGUAUUGGACUACCAUGGCUUUAACGGGUAACGGAGGAUUAGGGUUCGAUUCCGGAGAGGGAGCCUGAGAAACGGCUACCACAUCUAAGGAAGGCAGCAGG